AACGAACGCUGGCGGCAUGCCUAACACAUGCAAGUCGAACGAGACCUUCGGGUCUAGUGGCGCACGGGUGCGUAACGCGUGGGGACCUGCCCUUAGGUUCGGAAUAACUCCCCGAAAGGGGUGCUAAUACCGGAUAAUGUCUUCGGUCCAAAGAUUUAUCGCCUUUGGAUGGGCCCGCGUUGGAUUAGCUAGUUGGUAGGGUAAAAGCCUACCAAGGCGACGAUCCAUAGCUGGUCUGAGAGGAUGAUCAGCCACACUGGGACUGAGACACGGCCCAGACUCCUACGGGAGGCAGCAGUGGGGAAUAUUGGACAAUGGGCGAAAGCCUGAUCCAGCAAUGCCGCGUGAGAGAUGAAGGCCUUAGGGUUGUAAAGCUCUUUUACCCGGGAUGAUAAUGACAGUACCGGGAGAAUAAGCUCCGGCUAACUCCGUG
rnacentral:rRNA from 1 species